AGGUCCCGCCUGCCCAGUGAAGUAAAUUAAACGGCCGCGGUAUUCUAACCGUGCAAAGGUAGCGUAAUCACUUGUCUUCUAAAUAAAGACCUGUAUGAACGGCUAAAUGAGGACAAGCCUGUCUCUUAUAACUAAUCAGUGAAACUGAUCUACCAGUACAAAAGCUGGUAUACACACAUAAGACGAGAAGACCCUGUGGAGCUUAAGACAAAACACUACAUUUACCUCACAUAGUGUGGCAUCUUUAGUUGGGGCGACUUCGGAACAAAACAAAACUUCCGAGCAGAGAUCUCACCAGUCUAACUAAGGCAAACAGGCCAAAGUACUAAACUGACCCGGCCACGCCGAUCAACGAACCAAGUUACCCCAGGGAUAACAGCGCUAUCUUCUUCAAGAGUCCAUAUCGACAAGAAGGUUUACGACCUCGAUGUUGGAUCAGGACACCCCGGUGGUGCAGCCGCUACCAAAGGUUCGUUUGUUCAACGAUUAACAGUCCUACGUGAUCUGAGUUCAGACG
rnacentral:rRNA from 1 species